rnacentral:siRNA from 1 species
GAGGGAGUUCCGGCGGUGGUUUCC